UUUCCAGACUCCUACGGGAGGCAGCAGUGGGGAAUCUUCCGCAAUGGGCGAAAGCCUGACGGAGCAACGCCGCGUGAUCGAAUGAAGGCCUUCGGGUUGUAAAGAUCUGUUGACAGGGACGAAUAAGCAAUGCGAAUAGUUUUGUGUAUGGCGGUACCUGUUUAGAAAGCUCCGGCUAACUACGUGCCAGCAGCCGCGGUAAUACGUAGGUGGCAAGCGUUAUCCGGAUUUACUGGGUGUAAAGGGCGUGUAGGCGGGGACGCAAGUCAGAUGUGAAAACCACGGGCUCAACCUGUGGCCUGCAUUUGAAACUGUGUUUCUUGAGUACUGGAGAGGCAGACGGAAUUCCUAGUGUAGCGGUGAAAUGCGUAGAUAUUAGGAGGAACACCAGUGGCGAAGGCGGCCUGCUGGACCGUGACUGACGUUGAGGCUCGAGAGCGUGGGGAGCAAACAGGAUUAGAUACCCCAGUACA
rnacentral:rRNA from 1 species